rnacentral:rRNA from 1 species
AUGGGGGUUUCCCGGGAAUAUCUUCUUGAUGAUAGUGAUUGGUGUGAGGUGAGUGCUAUCAACAGCUAUGCUGCGUUCAUCGGUUACCUAUCCAGGGCCAUCAAGGGAUUGGGCUUUCUGGUGCUUACUUGGACCACCGUCUUACUCCUUGGUGGUUUCUUCUAUGCUGGCGUUUUCAAUGAUAUAACGCCGGCGAUGGUGCUGCAAUGCAGUAUCCAUGGUGCUGCUCACCGGUGA